UACGAAAGGGGGCUAGCGUUGCUCGGAAUCACUGGGCGUAAAGCGCACGUAGGCGGCUUUCUAAGUCAGGGGUGAAAUCCUGGAGCUCAACUCCAGAACUGCCUUUGAUACUGGAGAGCUUGAGUCCGGAAGAGGUGAGUGGAACUCCGAGUGUAGAGGUGAAAAUUCGUAGAUAUUCGGAAGAACACCAGUGGCGAAGGCGGCUCACUGGUCCGGUACUGACGCUGAGGUGCGAAAGCGUGGGGGAGCAAACAGGAUUAGAA
rnacentral:rRNA from 1 species